rnacentral:lncRNA from 1 species
AAAUAGAUGUAUAUAAUAUUUGUAAAACAUCUCCAUUUUAAAGUUUCACCGUGUUUGGUAAUUAUUAUUUUUUUUUUAAUUAAUUCAAUUUCGUUGGCCAUUACGUUUUCUAUCUUUCGUUUGACUUAUCUGUACAUGCUGAAUUGAACUACUUUCGCAACGGCAUUUUAUUUUGAUAAAGUUUGAUGUAAAUUGCAUGCAUGGGCGCG